rnacentral:rRNA from 1 species
GUAACCGGCUCACCAAGGCGACGACGGGUAGCCGGCCUGAGAGGGCGACCGGCCACACUGGGACUGAGACACGGCCCAGACUCCUACGGGAGGCAGCAGUGGGGAAUAUUGCACAAUGGGCGGAAGCCUGACGCAGCGACGCCGCGUGAGGGAUGAAGGCCUUCGGGUUGUAAACCUCUUUCAGCAGGGACGAAGCGGGAGUGACGGUACCUGCAGAAGAAGCACCGGCCAACUACGUGCCAGCAGCCGCGGUAAUACGUAGGGUGCAAGCGUUGUCCGGAAUUAUUGGGCGUAAAGCGCGCGUAGGCGGCCGCGCAAGUCGGAUGUGAAAACCCGGGGCUCAACCCCGGGCGUGCAUUCGAUACUGCGUGGCUAGAGACAGGUAGGGGAGAUCGGAAUUCCUGGUGUAGCGGUGAAAUGCGCAGAUAUCAGGAGGAACACCGGUGGCGAAGGCGGAUCUCUGGGCCUGUUCUGACGCUCAGGCGCGAAAGCUAGGGGAGCGAACAGGAUUAGAUACCCUGGUAGUCCUAGCCGUAAACGUUGGGUGCUAG